CAUGUCUAGAGUUUAAAAGAUGGUUCUGCUAUCACUCUUGGAUGGACCUGCGGUGCAUUAGCUAGUUGGUAAGGUAACGGCUUACCAAGGCAAUGAUGCAUAGCCGAGUUGAGAGACUGAUCGGCCACAUUGGGACUGAGACACGGCCCAAACUCCUACGGGAGGCAGCAGUAGGGAAUCUUCCACAAUGGACGCAAGUCUGAUGGAGCAACGCCGCGUGAGUGAAGAAGGGUUUCGGCUCGUAAAGCUCUGUUGGUAGUGAAGAAAGAUAGAGGUAGUAACUGGCCUUUAUUUGACGGUAAUUACUUAGAAAGUCACGGCUAACUACGUGCCAGCAGCCGCGGUAAUACGUAGGUGGCAAGCGUUGUCCGGAUUUAUUGGGCGUAAAGCGAGUGCAGGCGGUUCAAUAAGUCUGAUGUGAAAGCCUUCGGCUCAACCGGAGAAUUGCAUCAGAAACUGUUGAACUUGAGUGCAGAAGAGGAGAGUGGACUCCAUGUGUAGCGGUGGAUGCGUAGAUAUAUGGAAGAACACCAGUGGCGAAGGCGGCUCUCUGGUCUGCAACUGACGCUGAGGC
rnacentral:rRNA from 1 species